UUAGCACAGAGCCAGGCUCAUCGUUGCUUACUUAAUAAAUGGUUGUUGAUUAAUUGAUUGAUCUUGGUACUCAACUGUAAGGACUUUGGGUGAUGCCUCUGUGGAACAUCUGAAGAACAUAGAAAGGAAUUCCAUUAAAUGAGAAAGUACAGAUGAGUUGCAAGGGAGAGAAUACCCACAUUGUUGAGAUCAAAGACCAGCUGACGAAUUGGAGAGGAGGACUGUCUGAAAAGAAAAUAAAUAAAAGGGGAAUGAAGGAAUGGGAAGAGAAGACACUGUUGCUCAAGUUCACCCAUUAGUGAAUAGGUAGAAGGAAGCAUGAAUAUACAAGGCACUAAACAUAAUAUUUGUACUUACAAUUAUGCGACAAAUGCCUUUAUAGCAUUUUAGGAAAGGAAUCUGUCAA